CUCCGCCACGUCCCUGGGCGGCGCUACACUUUGUGAGCUGCCGCGCCGAUUUCUCCGUGUCGUGACAGAACUCAGGAAAAAGCGAGGGUUAUACGCGUGUGAAAGCUGUAGCUAUGAACAUGCAGCAAUAAUGAUCAUUGACCUUUUUGACCUAGGCCUAACUGAUGAGCGUGUCACAAUCUAUGGGAAAGGAAACAACUUGUGUGUGCGUGUGUCUGGAACACAUCGGAACCGGAUUUAACAUGUGUGUCAUCUUAUGAUGUCUGUAUGAUGUGUGCUGUAAAGAACUGGUGUCUCAUGCAAGGUGUAUUCCCACCUCAUGCUCAGUGUUCCUGGGAUCCACCACACGAUCAACUGCCACCAGGAUAAAGCACUUAAUGAAGAUGAAUUAUUUUUUUAAAAAUGUAUAGCAUUAAGAAUAUUAUCUCUUUGACCACAAGGGGGAGCCCAGGAACAAAGGAAAUCCAGUUCUGUUUCCACCUGACAGCAGUGAUCUGGUACAUGAGCUGGUACAUUUUUAUUAACUCUGGCUGUGAUGUAUAAACCUGAUAGCAGUGUGACAGAAUACAUUGAUGAACACUGUCAGUAAAUCAAAGUUUGACAGUGAAACCUUGUGUUUCACUUUAUAAGUAGCUUUUGAUUGUCUGAAUCACUGCCACUGCUGUAAUGUUAAUGUCCUGUGUUGUGUUUUGGACAUUUUCAGUGUUAUGUUAGUCCUGUACAUCAGUGUACCAGUGUGUAGACACGCAGAAAGAGUAAUAUCACUUCUGUUUGAUUCCUCAUUUACUCCUGAACUUUACUGCACUGACAUCCUCUACUUACACUGAAUAAUACUGCAGGAUCCAGUUUCUGCUUUUAGCAACAGAAAUAAAGUACACAUUGUCAUGGUUAAUUUUUAUUAUUUCGGCUCAAUAAAUGUUUUACUACUACAGACUUGAUUGUAUAAAAAUACAAAACAGAAAUGUUGAUAUUUAAAAAGGAACAGGAGUAGUUGUUCACUUGAGUUUACUUGUACUUCAUGUGAUACAUUAUUGCAACACUCCACGCAUAAAUCUCCUCUCCCAACUACAAUUAAAGUUCACGCAGCUGAAAAGAAAAGUCAAACAAAAUAUAAAACACACACCUCAAGGCUGCUCUCAACACUCAACACCAAAAUGAUGAUCAUCAGUGUUACAUGAAAUAGUCUGAGGUUUUAAUAGCACAUUUACACAUUUUCAUUUCAAACAUAGCAUGAUAGAUUUGAUCUUGUUUUUUUUUUUUUGCAGAAGCACAUCUCAAUCCUCAAACACCAUCAAAAUAUUAGCUUUUGUCAUCUCUCUGUUUUUUUAUUUUAAAGAAUAUUUUACUUGUUUAUUUUUACUCAGUACUUUGCAUUAGCAACUUUUGCAGGCAUUAGCUAAACAAAUCAAGUCAGAACAACAAAACUGUCUGUGUUAACAAUAUGAAAUUAAAGCAACAAAUCAGUUUUAUUAUAACAUUCCCAAAAUAACCUUAAAGAAAACAGCACUGCAUCCUCUUUUAACACAUGAAGUUUGCUCACUCCUCUAUGACUGCAUUCUCCAUUCUCC
ensembl:lncRNA